AUUGAACGCUGGCGGCAGGCCUAACACAUGCAAGUCGAACGAGUGGCGGACGGGUGAGUAAUGUCUGGGAAACUGCCUGAUGGAGGGGGAUAACUACUGGAAACGGUAGCUAAUACCGCAUACCAUCGGAUGUGCCCAGAUGGGAUUAGCUAGUAGGUGGGGUAAAGGCUCACCUAGGCGACGAACCCUAGCUGGUCUGAGAGGAUGAACAGACACACUGGAACUGAGACACGGUCCAGACGCCUACGGGAGGAAGCAGUGGGGAAUAUUGCACAAUGGGAGAAAGCCUGAUGGAGCCAUGCAGCGUGUAUGAAGAAGGCCUGCGGGUUUUAAAGUACUUUCAGCGGGGAGGCGUUACCCGCAGAAGAAGCACCGGCUAACUCCGUGCCAGCAGCCGCGGUAAUUC
rnacentral:rRNA from 1 species